AUGAUCCUCCAAGGGUGGAAAGGCACAACGGAGUGUUCCAGUCUCACACCUCACCCUCCAACACCCCCAGGAGAGCCAGAUAUCCUGGAAUGUGAAGUCAAGUGGGCCUUAGAAAGCAUCACUACGAACAAAGCUCGUGGAGGUGAUGGAAUUCCAGUUGAGCUAUUUCAUAUCCUGAAAGAUGAUGCUGUGAAAGUGCUGCACUCAGUAUGCCAGCAAAUUUGGAAAACUCAGCAGUGGCCACAGGACUGGAAAAGAUCAGUUUUCAUUCCAAUCCCAAAGAAAUGCAAUGCCAAGGAAUGCUCAAACUACCGCACAAUUGCACUCAUCUCACACGCUAGUAAAGUAAUGCUCAAAAUUCUCCAAGCCAGGCUUCAACAAUACAUGAACCGUGAACUUCCAGAUGUUCAAGCUGGUUUUAGAAAAGGAAGAAGAACCAGAUAUCAAAUUGCCAACAUGCACUGGAUCAUCGGAAAAGCAAGAGAAUUCCAGAAAACCGUCUAUUUCUGCUUUAUUGACUAUGCCAAAGCCUUUGACUGUGUGGAGUAUGGAUGUGAGAGUUGGACUGUGAAGAAAGCUGAGCGCCGAAGAAUUGAUCCUUUUGAACUGUGGUGUUGGAGAAGACUCUUGAGAGUCCCUUGGACUGCAAGGAGAUGCAACCAGUCCAUUCUAAAGGAGAUCAGGCCUGGGAUUUCUUUGGAAGGAAUGAUGCUAAAGCUGAAACUCUAGUACUUUGGCCACCUCAUGCGAAAAGUUGACUCAUUGGAAAAGACUCUGAUGCUGGGAGGGAUUGGGGGCAGAAAGAGAAGGGGACGACAGAGGAUGAGAUGGCUGGAUGGCAUCACCGACUCGAUGGACGUGCGUCUGAGUGAACUCCAGGAGUUGGUGAUGGACAGGGAGGCCUGGCGUGCUGCGAUUCAUGGGGGUUGCAAAGAGUUGGACAUGACUGAGCAACUCAACUGAACUGAGUGAACCGUGCUCAGCCUCCCUCCUACACAACUGGUGAACUCCCUGAUGAGCAAAGGUCUAAGCAUCCUGUUCACUGCAGCAGAGUGUCUGCUCCAAGAAUGAUGUGACGGGGUAGUAAACAAGCUUUACUUCUCCUGCUUUACUGAUGGACAUCAGCUUUACAAUGGACAGCAUUUGGGAAGCAUCUAUGAAAGUGAAAAAUCCUUACAAAAUCUUUGUCCUUGUGGAUUUAAUAUUAAGAAUCAAAUAAUUUAAUAUACCACAUCAGUAGAAUGAGGGCGAAAAACCACAUUAUCCUCUCAGUAGCUACCUAAAAAGCACUGGACAAAAUUCAGCAUGCGUUCAAAAUACAAAGACUUAAAGUAGAAGUAGAAGGCAACAUUUUCAAUCUGAUAUAAAACAUCUAUGAAAACCCCACAGCUAUCAUCGUACUUAAUGAUAAAAGGCAGAAGUAGUUCCCCUGAAAAUCAGGAAGAAUAGAAGGAUGUCCUCUCUUACCACUUCUAUUCCACAUUGUCCUGGAGGUUCUGGACAGGGUAAUUAAGCAAGCGAAAGAAAUAAAAUGAAUCUACAUUG
ensembl:lncRNA